rnacentral:rRNA from 1 species
GAUGAACGCUGGCGGCGUGCCUAAUACAUGCAAGUCGAACGCUGGAAAUCUAGCUUGCUAGCUUGAAGGAGUGGCGAACGGGUGAGUAAUACAUAAGCAACCUACCCACGAAGACUGGGAUAAUCUCUGGAAACGGGGACUAAUACCGGAUAGGUAAUCGGAAGGCAUCUUCUGAUUAUUAAAGGUUAAAAACACUGGUGGAUGGGCUUAUGGCGCAUUAGUUAGUUGGUGAGGUAACGGCCCACCAAGACGAUGAUGCGUAGCCGGCCUGAGAGGGUGAACGGCCACAUUGGGACUGAGACACGGCCCAGACUCCUACGGGAGGCAGCAGUAGGGAAUUUUCGGCAAUGGGGGAAACCCUGACCGAGCAACGCCGCGUGAGUGAUGACGGCCUUCGGGUUGUAAAGCUCUGUUGUAAGGGAAGAACGGUAGAUAGAGAAUAUCUAAAUGACGGUACCUUACCAGAAAGCCACGGCUAACUACGU